GACGUAGGGCGCGAGCGUUGUCCGGAUUUAUUGGGCGUAAAGAGCUCGUAGGCGGUCUGUUACGUCUGCUGUGAAAACCCAGGGCUUAACCCUGGGCUUGCAGUGGAUACGGGCAGACUAGAGGCAGGUAGGGGAGAAUGGAAUUCCCGGUGUAGCGGUGAAAUGCGCAGAUAUCAGGAGGAACACCGGUGGCGAAGGCGGUUCUCUGGGCCUGUACUGACGCUGAGGAACGAAAGCGUGGGGAGCGAACAGG
rnacentral:rRNA from 1 species